GUUUGCAAUUAGAGCUAUGGCGCUAUAUAUUGUACUGUUAUUAUUGUUCUCAUCCAGAGUUUGUUUCGUGUACACUUCACUGAGGACACUGGCAAAGAAUGGGAAUCCGGAGUGCCGGGAGAAGCAUUUUAACACGGCACACGUGAGCUACGAUCGUUUAAUCGCUGCAAAAGUGCGUCCGAUGCUUCCGCGUCAGGCCUCUACUAAGGAGGCGGCGGACGGGGUUGAGAGGCUGUCAGCAGUGGCAGCACCUUGCUUUGGAGCAGCCUUGAUCAAGGCAGUAAAAGAAGAGUCAAAGACAACCAGAACGGUCAACUUCCUUCCUCUUGUCAAGAUGACACUUAAAAGUAAUAUUCUCCUUCACUUGGAGAAUCAUCGGCAGUGACAAAGUUCUCCGUAUUUUCCAUCCUCCGCGUACUGUACCACACAGUUCUUGGAAAUAAAGCUGCAUCCAGAGCCGGCUGCCUUUCACUCCAUCACUGCAUCUGCAGAUCCCUUUCACAGCAUUUUUUUUUCCACCCUGUUGCUUCUCUUGCGGGAUUACUUUUCUCAUCGGGCGGGGUGAGGAGAGGGAAGAGACGGUCCAGAAAAGGAGCCCAAAAAUAACUGUCAUGCAAGUGGACAGGCGGUGAUUAAGGAUUUAACUGAUCAUCCUGGAAGCUGACAGUGAACCAGCUAUUAUCUAGCAGGAAUCAAACGCCGCUCAAAGCCCUGGGAGGCUCGGUGCGCCCCUCAGCAUCUCUCAGCUCCUCUCGGAGGCCUGGCCGACAUGAAAGGAGACGUCAGGGUCUGGCAGCUGACAAGACACUGUGUGUGUGUGGAGGGUGGAAGAGAGAGAGAAAGCGAGUGUGUGUGUGUGUGUGUUUGUGUGUGUGUGUGUGAGAGAGAGAGAGAGAGAGG